UUUCCGUAGGUGAACCUGCGGAAGGAUCAUUAAUGAGUUGUCAUGGGGUACGAUGCUGGCAGCCAAUUUUUGGAUGCAUGUGCUUGCCCUAACAAUCAUCUUCCAAACACCUGUGCACAUUUUUGAGGGAGUCUUGAGUUGGUUGCCGCUCUUGAGUGAUUUUCUCACAUUCCCUUAAAUCAUUAUACGCUAUUAACAAUGUUGAACGUGCUCUGUGCCGCAAGGCUAUUAAUAUAAUACAACUUUUAACAACGGAUCUCUUGGCUCUC
rnacentral:misc_RNA from 1 species